UCCGAGUUGACCCCGGCAGUCUCCUACGAGUCCCCGGCAUUACCCGCUGGCAACAUAGGACAAGGGUUGCGCUCGUUGCGGGACUUAACCCAACAUCUCACGACACGGGCUGACGACAGCCAUGCACCACCUGUGAACCUGCCCCGAAGGGAAGCCCUGUUUCCAGGGCGGUCAGGCACAUGUCAAGCCCAGGUAAGGUUCUUCGCGUUGCGUCGAAUUAAACCACAUGCUCCGCUGCUUGUGCGGGCCCCCGCCAAUUCCUUUGAGUUUUCGAGUGAUGUCAAACCCAGGUAAGGUGGGGAUGACGUGGACGUCAUAACC
rnacentral:misc_RNA from 1 species